CGUUCUACCUGCGCUAGCUUCUGUUUGUUCAUGAAGCACGUUAUGUGUGUGUGUCUAUGGUAAGUGGUAAAUGUACAAAAAAAUAUAAAAAUCAAGCGACUAAGAAAUGAAGAAUUCCCUUCGUUCAUGCGUUCCUCCCUGCCCCGCUUCGGGGGGGAUCUCCGUGUCGCUUGUGCUCCCACUCCUCCUGGUUCUGGUCCGUUUGAGGACCUGGGGCUCGCAGCUGGUCCAGCAUUCUGUCACAGAUUCAGAAGCAUGCCUUUCGGCAGUUUCCUGCCCUUUCUAUGAGAGCGCUCAGUUCUGCUUCUCUUCCUCUGAGGCCCUCAGAGACAACCUCACCCAGUCCCCUCCGAGGAGCUAUUAGAGGCCCCAGACCAGGAAAAUCUGAACCGACUGUGUCCGGUGCGAGGACUGGACUUAUACGUCCACUGAACAAGUCUGUGGAAAAAGUCAGAGCAACUUUUCUGAGGAGAGGCCUUCCUGCGAACCAGCAGACGCUCAGCAGAUGGAUUGUGGAUCUAUUUCAUCCUCCUAUGAGUGCUCUGGUCACCACGCUCCUUUUGGGGUCAGAGUUCAUUUGACCUGGAGUGUGGCGGAGUUGAGGUGGCGACAGAGAGACAUGGAAAUGUUCGAUGAUGGAUUUGUUUAUGAAGGAGCUGAACAUGAGCACAUCCCUCACAGCAACAGGGGGGCCAAUACUUAUUUCAUAUCCACGUGUGCAUCUAAAAAACUAUUUGUGGACACGAGUUAGAAAAAAUAUAAUGCUUUAAUAUUUUUUUUUAAAUGACAGAAUCUGCAAUAAUAAAGAUUCGCCUUCAUUCUGCAUAAAAACACAGUUAACAUGAUAAAUGUUUUUAUAAAAAUAAAAAAGUGUGCAAUAAACAUCAUAAAUCUCAUAGUGUCCUAAACACACACACACACACACACACA